rnacentral:rRNA from 1 species
GUCCACGCCUAACGAUGUCAACUAGGUGUUGGAGGUAAACCUUAGUUACGGAGCUAACGCGUGAAGUUGAGCGCCUGGGAGGUACGGCCGCAAGGUUAAACUACAAAGGAAUUGACGGGACCCGGCACAAGCGGUGGAUGAUGUGGAUUAAUUCGAUGCAACGCGAAACCUUAACCUACCCUUGACAUGUCCAGAAGCCCGAAGAGAUUUGGGUGUGCCCGAAAGGGAGCUGGAACACAGGUGCUGCAUGGCUGUCGU